AUUUUCUCCCUCAGCCGCGUUCUUCCCUCUCUUUCCCUCCACGACCUCUCGCUCUCUCUCUUCCUUCCUCCCUCUGCCAUCAUCGGAAAGCACAUAUCCGGCCACCAUCUCACCACACUGCCUCCACCAAUCGAUGCAGCGCCCAAAACCGACCCUAACCCGGGGCUCGCCGUCGACAUGCACCGCCUCCGGCCUCCACCCGCGACCACCAAAGCUGCGACGCUGCUGUCUCCCCUAGUCCUCUGAUUUCCAGCUAUCGAUUCAAACCACCACUAUCAUGAAUCGAAGCACCAAGUCCUAGAAAGCAGAAACCAAACCGUGGCCUCAAACUCCAACGCCGGAAAACGCCGCACGAGCUCGCCGGAAACCGUAGCUCUGCAUGUCUUCGUCUUCCGACCUCCAGUCUAAAUCGAGCGAAACCACUUUAGAGUCUCUAAUUUACUAGGGCCGA
rnacentral:lncRNA from 1 species